AUUGAACGCUGGCGGCAUGCCUUACACAUGCAAGUCGAACGGCAGCACGGGAGCAAUCCUGGUGGCGAGUGGCGAACGGGUGAGUAAUAUAUCGGAACGUGCCCAGUCGUGGGGAUAACGUAGCGAAAGCUACGCUAAUACCGCAUACGAUCUAUGGAUGAAAGCGGGGGAUCGCAAGACCUCGCGCGAUUGGAGCGGCCGAUAUCAGAUUAGGUAGUUGGUGAGGUAAAGGCUCACCAAGCCGACGAUCUGUAGCUGGUCUGAGAGGACGACCAGCCACACUGGGACUGAGACACGGCCCAGACUCCUACGGGAGGCAGCAGUGGGGAAUUUUGGACAAUGGGCGCAAGCCUGAUCCAGCAAUGCCGCGUGCAGGAUGAAGGCCUCGGUUGUAACUAGCUUUGUACGG
rnacentral:rRNA from 1 species